GACGAACGCUGGCGGCGUGCUUAACACAUGCAAGUCGAACGAAGUGGCGAACGGGGGAGUAAUACGUGGGUAACCUGCCCUCCUUUAGGGGAAAAACCUUGGAAACGGGGUCUAAAACCUAAUAAAGGGGGAUGGGCUCGCGGCCUAUCAGCUUGUUGGUGGGGUGAUGGACUACCAAGGCGGUGACGGUUAGCCGGCCUGAGAGGGUGACCGGCCAGAGUGUGACUGAGAUACGGCCCAGACUGCUACGGGAGGCAGCAGUGGGGGAUAUUGCACAAUGGGCGAAAGCCUGAUGCAGCGACGCUGAGUGGGGGAUGAAGGCUUUAGGGUUGUAACCCGCUUGCGCUAUCGAAUGGUUAGGUGGAGAAGAAGCGCCGGCUAACUACGUGCCAGCAGCCGCGGUAAUUC
rnacentral:rRNA from 1 species